CACCAGAGUUCAAUUUGCUACAGACUCCUCUUGUGGUUAAGAAAGCUGAAGUUUUGGCCACAUCUGCUUCUGGUUUUCCCGGCUUUACUCCUCGGUCUAUCCUCAGAUCCAGCGUUCGCAGCACACCCCAGGCAACUCCCUCUGCGUUUCCAGGAGAAUCAGUUACUCCUCCUCCCAGAGCAAACAAACACAGAGUGUCUUUCAAGGAAGGGAACUCAGAUGAGAAAUGGACUGUUGGGAAUGAUCGCCAUCCUCGCUUCAGAGAGGGGGCAUGUGCCAGAAAGUCUGAAUUACGCCCAUAUCGGAAGAUCCUUCCUAGAGUUCAAAGGCAGCUGGCUGCAGAGAGAGCCAGGCCUUACCAUUUGCCUUUGUCGGCCUUAAGAGGAGGUAAUUUUUAGCGCGGGGAAUACAGCGGUCAAGAAACGCUCACUUUGAUAACACAAGGCUGAUAGGUUUUCCCUUGUGC